CUCCAGUUAGCCGAGUGAAGGCUACGGAUCGCCAAUCCGGAGAAAGUGGGUUCGAUUCCCGUUCUGGUCG
rfam:Aedes albopictus isolate Foshan contig112187, whole genome shotgun sequence.